GAUGAACGCUGGCUACAGGCUUAACACAUGCAAGUCGAGGGGAAACGCCGGGGAAGCUUGCUUCUCCGGGCGUCGACCGGCGCACGGGUGAGUAACGCGUAUCCAACCUGCCUCUGACUGAGGGAUAACCCGUCGAAAGUCUGCCUACUACCUCAUUGCAUCGUCUGCGGGCAUCCAACGACGAUUAAAGAUUUCUUUGGUCAGGGAUGGGGUUGCGUCUGAUUAGCUUGUUGGCGGGGUAACGGCCCACCAAGGCUACGAUCAGUAGGGGUUCUGAGAGGAAGGCCCCCCAGAUGGGAACCGAGGCACGGACCAAACUCCUACGGGGGGCAGGAGUGAGGAAUAUUGGGCGAUGAGCGGGGGCCUGAACCAGCCGAGUAGGGUGCAGGAGUCCGGCGCUAGGGGUUGUAUGCUGCUUGUAUGCGGGGAAAGAGUGAGGAACGUGUCCUUCAUUGCGGGUACCGAAUGAAUAAGGACCGGCUAAUUCCGUG
rnacentral:rRNA from 1 species